UAGAAAGCCUGCAGCUCCAAGAGACUUGUUGUCAAAACUGGAUGGUCAUGGCACUUAAACUAUUGGGAAUCCAGGAUGCUACUGCACCACUUAAAAAUGGAAACUCAUGUCUGUAGAAACCCUUGAUAUGUGAAGCUGACUGUGGUUGGGGUUCUUUCCUGGUUGGUUAAGGGCACCACUUUCAGAUAAAACAUAGACCUGAAUGGCAUCAUCCAGUAUCCAAGGAAACCAUAAACCUGAAGUGUAAUGUUGUGACAUACUACGAAGAGUACUUGAGAUUGAACCUAGAGUCUUAUGAAUGCAAGGUACCUUGGGAUUUGAAGGCUUCACCAACUCCCGCUGGAAAGGAAUGGAUGAAUGAGCUAUCAUGCAGUGAUGGUUACAGAUGCCCAGUCCUCGGUGCUGCCCUGUCCAAGAUUAUUCUCCAGUCCAGCUCCUGGGUGAUCUUGCCAGUUCCAGGAUACUGCAAGGCAGAUCUGCAGCAGGGAUUCAGCAGCUGCAAACGAUGGAGGGUGUAAAGCAUCUCUGACUCACUGCAGAGGAGUAAAGAGAAGGAAAUUACCAAUGAUCU
rnacentral:lncRNA from 1 species